GCCGCAAUAGCUCAGUCGGUAGAGCAUUUCAUUCGUAACGAAAAGGUCAGGGGUUCGAGCCCCCUUUGUGGCUCAA
rnacentral:tRNA from 1 species